UGAUUUGAACCGGCGCCAUUUCGUUUGUGUGUGUACUGCGGAGAACAUCGCAGGAACACUUUCACCGAUUUAAAACAUCGAUUUAACUAAAAUAUUCCAAAAACUAAGUCAAGAUUGCUGCAGCAGAAGAGGUAUGUCCCACGUGCCCGGCCGAUGAGGUGAGAAAGCGAGAAUGGUUGGUGUCAUCUUCACAAUGACGAGGUGGCAGUGCCCACUUUGAACAUGACGGUCUUGGACUGUCUGCCUUCCAACGACCGAUUCUGGGUCCCCCAUCGAUGUUUACAAAUCACCUGCCCUACUCCUACCCACGUGACAAGACCUCCAUCGAGACGAAACAACUCUCGAACAGAAAUACUGACAAAUCUGUAUAAGUGCUUGUAACAGUUUCAAAUGCCCUCGGAUAAAGUUCCGGGGACGAUUAAUUUUAUGAUGCCAGUUUAAUCUCUGCCGGAGUGAGGUGUUGAAGGUCAUUGGUCUCAGUAGAACCAUACCUUGACCGGCACUAACCUACAGGGAAGGACUUUUUCCAGGGGACAAUCCAAACUGGAGCGCCACCUGUUUCUACAUGUAGUGCCUACAAAACAUUUCAUUGAAAAUAUCUUUUUGUAAAACCUGUGAUUUAUAUACAUUUUCAUUGUAAUUGUCUUUUUGUAAAAUAUUCAGUCAUUCUUUUACAUAGACCACUCUUGAAAACAAUAUGUCAGUAAUUUGAAUAUGAAUUUGUCCUGAACAUAAUUAUGAAAUAAAGAAUGGAAGAUUUCA